GCGUCGAUGACGGUACCGGAAGAAUAAGCACCGGCUAACUACGUGCCAGCAGCCGCGGUAAUACGUAGGGUGCGAGCGUUAAUCGGAAUUACUGGGCGUAAAGCGUGCGCAGGCGGUUUGAUAAGACAGGCGUGAAAUCCCCGAGCUCAACUUGGGAAUGGCGCUUGUGACUGUCAGGCUAGAGUAUGUCAGAGGGGGGUAGAAUUCCACGUGUAGCAGUGAAAUGCGUAGAGAUGUGGAGGAAUACCGAUGGCGAAGGCAGCCCCCUGGGACGUCACUGACGCUCAUGCACGAAAGCGUGGGGAGCAAACAGGAUUAGAUACCCUGGUAGUCCACGCCCUAAACGAUGUCAACUAGUUGUUGGGGAUUCAUUUCUUCAGUAACGUAGCUAACGCGUGAA
rnacentral:rRNA from 1 species